UCUAACCUGUCUGUCUCUCUAACCUACCUGUCUGUCUGUGUCUGUCUCUCUAACCUACCUGUCUGUCUGUGUGUCUGGUAGGUCUCAGGUGGCGGCAGCAAUUCUUACAGUUGGAGACUACGAGCUGCAGGUCAGCCUAUCGGAGGCUCUGUGUCGUCUGACGCCCAGGAAGCAGCGAGAGCACAGAGCCAAUCAGUGGUUCUCCUCCCGUGACAUCAGCAGAGCCUUCUGUGACAUCAGAGAUGGAGACUUUGAGGUGGACUGUCGGCGUUUCCUGAACUUUGUUAACCGUUACCAUGGUGACCAGAGGAGAGUCUACACCUUCCCAUGUGUCAGAGCGUUCCUUGAUUCCACCGAGCUGUUUCGUCCCAAGGACGAGAAACUGGACGAGUUCUGGAUCGACUUCAACGUCGGCUCAGGAUGCGUCAGCUUCUUCGUAGAUGAGCCUCAGGUACCUGUCUCUCUGUCUGAGGCUGAAACACCUGUCUCUCUCUCUCUCUCUGAGGCUGAAACACCU